CAACACGAAGAAAAUCCCACCUGUCCACUACGUCCUCGUGGUAUAUGAUGAUGACUCGUUUUAAUAACACGUAUUAAACUCUGCAGUAUUAUUUUAUACAAUGUUACCAUCGCUUUAAUGAAAGGCCGCACUAUGUAUAUUAAUUCUUUAACACUUAGUUAAAUGGGUCACCGCGUUAACCCCAAAUUAAGUCUUCGGCUUUGUAGACAAUACACAUAGCUGAUAGGUAUAAUAUAAUAAUAAUAUGCAAACCAUCCUGACGCACCCGAGUCGCUCGUCCGUUACCUACGCUUCCUUCGUCAUUUCCUCUGUAUAAUAAUUUAUCAAAUUAGUUUACCAAAAGACUGCUCUCAAUAACAGAAACGACGGCGAAUAUUGUGUACUCUCUCAAAUGGUAUUAUUUUUGACUAAAACCUAUAUAAUAGUACUUAACUUUUCUUAACGAUUCGACUGCUCGAUAAUAUUUUCAGACGUGGAUAUAGGCAUCUAUUGAGAAGAAAAUUAUUUCGCUUAGGUGGGAUCCUGUUGGUGUUUUUUUUAUUUUUACAAAUUUUCUUGACAAUGAUUGUUAAAAUUUACAAUUUACAGUUCUUAACAAAAUAUUUAAUCGGUUGUAAAAAAAUUACAACCACGCAUUAAAAUUGCACGAAAAACUAUCGUGCCUCACCGUAUAGUAAUCCGAUUUAUAGAAUUCUUUUUCUUUUCUCGAAGAAGAGAACUUACAGGGUCCACUAAAUUUAGGGUUUUUGUAUAAUUCUAUACAGACAUUUCAAAUGAAGUUAUGGAAAUGGUAUUUUGCCAUUUUGUAAAUGCAUGGUGUAAGUAUCAAGAAUGUGCCUUUUAGGGGUUUCAAGAUUUUCGGUUAUUGGGUGGGUGUCUAUUGAAUACAAAUCAGAAAUAACCCUUCUUCUCCUUCCCCUUUUUUCCAGCUAUUUGGAUUCAGUCACCACCCUCAUCCUAAAUUUUCAUUUGACUCAAUUUCUCAUCUCGCAAACAUCGGCUGUCCUAAUAUUAUUCUCAAUGCCAUCCAACCACCUUUUUUUCGGUAUUGUUCUUCUCCUCUUCCUUCCUACGAUUAUUUUCAUUACCACCCCAGUCUACUUUCUCUCAUUUUGUCUACCAUCAAAACCAAGCCUAUAUUAUCUCUAAAUUCCUAAUCCUUCUUCUUAUUUUUAUUCUUUUUCGUCACUCUACUCAUCCGGUUAAGUGUUUACACCCCCGCUACACACGCAAAAAAAAUAUAUUAUAACGGCAACAUGUCGACUGAGAAAAACUCGAAUCUAGAGAAAGACCACUGCGGCUCAUGUGAUUUUUUUUUUUUAACAUCAAAAAUUACUGUAGAAUGCAAAACAUGAUUUUCGCGGCAUCGGACAAACCGAGAAAUAACUCUGCAAUUGCUGCAGUUCUUGGAUGUUCGUGCGAAGGACGGCCGCGAUUCAUUCUUUUCGAUAAUAAUAAAUAUUAUUGCUAUUGACAAUGGACGCAAUUAUUGUAUGUGUGUGUGUGUGUGUGUGUGUGUGUGUAGGGAUGCAGACUUUUAUAGUAACGUGAUAGGAAUGUCAAGGCUAUAUUAUCACAGGAGAACCGCUAGCAACGUAUUAAACGACCAAUAAUAAUAAAAAAAAAAAUUAUGCUACCGCAGUCAUUAGAAACUCUUGUUCGAACAUCGCAUCAACAGUAUGGACUUAGGUAUACUUAAGGGUUUACUUACCUUUUUGGUUGUUGUACAAAACAAAAAAGACACGAUAUGCUUGUGGGUAGGUCAGUGCGGCCGAAGGCGACCAACUUAAAAAGAAAAACACGCUCAUUAGCAGCAGAUCUCCGUUACUAAAGUUGAAUUUUCUCCUAUCCAACUUGUCGUCGUUGCAAUAUUUUAUUAUUAUAAAUUUAUAACUGAUCGAAAACAGUUAUGAUCACCAGAGUUGUAUUACAUUUAAGUUUGUAGGGUAUUUAAAACCAGAUAUUUCUUAUUGAAAAAUGACAUUUUAGCACAAAAUGGCUGAGGUUGAAAGUUAAAAAUCCCAAAAGACAUAUCAUUGGUAUUUUACACCAUGCAUACACACAAUUUCGUUUGCUUCGUUUGGUCGGUAGGGGUGCACAAAGUUAAAAAGAAAACUCUCCUCCCCCAAUGACAUUGUGAAAUUCAUAUUGAAAAAUUCUAUGAAAAUUGUACGAAUAUCAUAAUAAUAUUAAAUAACUUUAAUUCUUUAGUUUGAGUUUAUUUGGUACAGAGGACGCCCACUAAAAGAGUUCAAAAGUAGCGAAAAUGUAUAUGAAAAGAUGUAUAUGUAUAACAGACACAAAAUAGUGUAUUAUAGUCUGCAAGUAGAUCAGAUACAAUUGUUUAACGUAUUUCAUAGUGAAUUUGUGCUUAAAACGGUUAUAAAUUUAAAAUUUUUGUUCCGUCCAGUAUGAACGUUAUUGGUUAUUAAACCAUUUUCGCGGGGCUAAAACGCUCAAUUCGAAUACACCGAUAAAUAAUAUAGUGUACAGUGUUUACUGCAAAAAUGCUAUACAAACACAAUAUUUUGUUUUCGUCGAUUCAAGUUCACAACAGGUGUAUAUGAAGUACAAAUACGCGCGUAAUACAAAUAAAUACCGUUUAAGAGGACGUUGCACAUGCAUAUUUUGUUGUUUCCGUCUUACAAACACAAGAUAUUGUAAAAACAUUCUUACGCAGUCUACACGGAACUCGUUCAGUUUUGGUUUUGGUUUUUUACUUUUACUCUAUUAUAAUUUCUUACUCUAAAUGGCCGUACAUUCCCCCACAUAGCCUCCCGGCCCCGCAAUCGCCCCAUUAUUUGGUUAAUCUGCAAUGUUUUGCCAUGGGUAUUAGACGUUCCAGUCACUGAUAAGCGUAUGAAAGUCUAGCGGCAACAGGCGAUUCUGUAUGAUACCGAUAAAUUGCAACAUAACGGCAAUCUUCUCCGUGGGUUUUGUUUGAUUUUUGAUUGAGCGGCGCGCGCGUGAACACACGAAAAAAAAAAUCAAAAAAUGUCGUAUAUAUUUUAUUUUAUCACACGGGUGUACAAAACCCGCGUGCGGCGUAUCGAAUUAAUUAUGUUUCGGACGUGCGGAAAGCCGACCUGGCGACCAGUGGGACAAGUGCAGAUUAUCGUUCGUACAGGCGUGCGCGGACUUUAUCCACUAGUCGUGAAGCGAUUAGCUGAAAAAUAGGGCCCCGAAAAAUAAUCAAAUAUAGCCGUGUCCCCCCCCCCCAAAAAAAAAUACAAUUAAAAAACUGUCCUUGGAUAACGGGGACGGACGCAGACACUGUUAUAGGUAAUUUAAUGUAUACUUGUAAGCAACGAAAUUGCUAACCGUUGCUAACGAAAAACCAAAUCUGACCGAAGUUCGGUCGAUAGCGUUGGUUUAUCGACAAUACAUACGUACAUAGACGUGCCUACGGUAGCAGCAUAGGGUGCCUGGACUGACCUUGCAAUUUUCAAAAGGCACCGGUCAACCAAAUUUUAUCUGUAGUUGCUUAAAACUUUUAUUAAAAGAAAAAAAUUCUUAUUCAUUGUUUUCAGCAUAAUAUUAUUCUCUAUCAGUCUAUCGUUUUUUUUAUUUUUCUAUAUACUAACACAUUAUAAUUUUGGUAAUUACUUGACUGUAUGGUAGUGUAGUCCAAGCUUGAAUAAUAUUUCUGUAGUUAAAUUUAAAUGUACUGAAAAUAUUGUACAUUUUAAUUGUAAAUAGAUAAUACAGACUUUUUAAAAUUAUAUAAAUAUUUAAUUUGGGGGGACUAACCUUCCCCCACUAUUUAAAGCGAAUUUUUUCGGUUCAUUAAGCGGCGCCAGUCGUUAGAUUAGCUGCCGCUACGGACGAAGUCUAGUCACGCCCACGAAUACGUAUGUCAUAUUACGGUAAAAUAAUUGCAUACGCAUUAUAUAUUCUGUUUAAUAAGAAGUAUUCGUCUAAUAUUGUACCUAUUUUCCCAUUUAUUGGGAGAACUCCUUGGAAAAUUAAAAGAUGACCUCUAUAAAGUACCUGCUCAGUCAGAUUUUCUUUUAGACAAAGUGCUAUCAUUGUAAACCGGAGAAAAAUUGCUAAUAGUGAAGUUGUCUACAGAAAACAAAAUAAAUAAACAUCGUUGUAAAACCAUAAGCUUCUUCGCUCCAAAUACGAGUUGCGGCCCGGAUUUAUAAGAUAGACGUACGAAUUGCGGCCACAUAAUAAUAACCACUUCAUACCAGUCUGUUAACGUUACAUCAAGAAGAGAGCUUUUGUUUCGGAUUGAAUUUCAAGUAAAACGUCAACAAAGUUACAGGACGUGUUAGGACGGCUUGUGUAAAAUGAAGUGUUUAGUAUUGUUUAUCGUCAGCCGUUAUAUUUCAGAUUAGAUACCAGUUUCAAUCUGAUACGUUAUAAUUAAUAACAAAGUAUAAUUUAGCUAUAUCAGUGACAAAGUUUCUUAGAUAAAAAGAGCUGCUCGGGCCGUACAGCCAAAAUGUUUGCCGGGCCGGGAUUCACCGGUCUCGACAUCGAAAAUAACGAGCCGGGCCGCAACUAUCGCCUACAGCCUUCGGGAUUACUCGUGGUGUGAAAGUCGACUAUCUAUAUUAAGUUGUCUUACAUUAUACACCUAUCUGUGGCGGACGUAUUAUUAUGGUACAUUCCGGUAAAUUUAAAAUUUACCGCAUUCCGUCAGUAAUAACGUUAUAAUAUUAGUAUCUCUGGAUAACUGUCCGCCGCGUUGACAGUGCGACGGUGAUCUAUUUAAACCGUGUCGAAUUAAUUGAUUGCUGAGCGACAGCGACUAUAAUGAAAUGUAAUAAUAUUGUUAUUAACCGUAUAUUGUCUUACGCGCGUAACCGGUAACGCGGUUACCGGCAUAUUAUAUUGUAUAGGUAUCGGCGAUGUACCUGCUCGGAAUGGGUACAUAAACACGUAUAUAAUGAUAUUGUUAACUGACGCCGUUUCGAUUCGCCGUAUGUUGUACAUUGUGACACACGCGCAUAAUAUUAUACGCAUUUUAAUGACAUUAUGCGUGCCGAGUGUUAUGCGUUUAUAAUAACAAUGAUAACAAGUACCGAAAUGCUGCAGUAUAAAUAAUAGUCUGACACCAGACUUGUAAACAAAAUCUGACUGGACUGGAGGAGAGGAAUCCAGGCGGUCUGGUCUAAAAUGUAUGUCCCGAGGCUUGACUGAAAAUCAGUAUCUAAAGAAAAAUGUGAUUAUAAAAAAAAAACAACGAGAACACGAGAACGAUGUUUUGAAUGUUGCAUACAAUUUCCGAGAAACAAAAGAAAUUUGAUCCACGUAAAACUAAAAAAAAAUUAAAAAUAGACAUUUUAAAAUACCUAGGUAUAAAUAACUAAAACGCCAGUAGUGUUGGCUAUCCUCACUAAAAUAUAUAUUUCCCACACACCUUCAUAAGAUAUAAUAUAAGCGAUAUUUACUAGAACACUAGAAAACAUAAAACCGGGAGAAAAAUCAACUCCAUCGUAAUACACUUGUUAAACACUUAAUAAAGUACUGCUAAAAUCAUUAUACCAACCGACUCAUCUGCCCCCGUACCAAUACUUAGCAAUAUUUAGAUCAUGAGAUAGCCACCACUGAACACCAGAAUAUUUUUAAAAUUACACCACAUCUAGAAAUGUUUAGAUACUUUACACUUAUUUUUAGGUUAAACUCUCUUGAUUUGCCAAAAAAAAAAAAAAACAAAAAAAAUGAAAUAUAAUUUUGGCCCAUCACUAUUUGUAUAAAAGACACUUUUCAAAAGUAUUUUUUGUACGAAUACUAUGAAAAAUGAUGUCAUUUAAAAGUUAUUCAGCAUGCAUUUUUGAGUACUAAUACAGAUGUCGUUUUUGAAAAUAAUUUUCAAAUAUUUUUAGAUUUGGACGGUAGCGAAGAAUGAUAAGAAAUGUAUUGGUUUUACAAUGAUUUUUCUUAUUUUUAUCUGUAAACAAAUUUUCUAACAGACAGCUUGUUCCGAUUUUCAAGUAUAUUACCUUUUCUGAAAGGAAAUUGCACCUGAGUGGUACGCUAAGGAGGUUAUUGAUUUUCCAAUUUUCCAAGUGAUUUUCAUAGUAACAGGGAAAAACGGGAAAAUUUACUCGGAUGUAUGAAAAAAAAUUUCGCUCCAAAUCCUUUUUUUUUUGUUAAAAAUGGAUUAUCGUUGCGUACAGAUAUAAAUUAAAUUACCUUCUAUAUCAUACCGCCCAUCGUGCGGAGUGCGUCCGUCUUUUUUAUUUACAUAUUACUAUACCAUAAGUAGAGUCAUUGAUAUUCUGUUUUUUUUUUUUUUACGUAAUACCGGUAAAACUAAAAAUGUUGAAUCAACUUAACUUUUAACAAUGCGAUAUUGCGCGAUGCGCGUUUAAACUCGUUAUACGAUUAACAUGGAAAACAAAAAUUCAUGAAAAACAUAAAAGCGUUUGAAACAAGUGUGUUCGACACCAAACGCAAAUACUGUUUGUAUUUAUUCCCGAUCGAACAUUUUACGAGUCUAAUAACUUAUAGGCGGGCACGUGUGCAGGCGCGUUCCGACGCACGGUGGCGUUUGACGCGAUUUAUGUCCCGAUGUUGACGCAAGGGAUGCGUGUGUGACGGCGGCGCGCAAAGUUCGCGGGGUCGACGGGUUAACCCGCGGUCGGGCCUCGGAGUUGCUAUAACCGAACUGCUGCGGCAGACGAGACGUGCAGGUACAUUAUUACCAUCGCCGCGGCACCGCCCAUCAGACCCUUCGGCCGAGAAACGACCGCGGUGUUUCCCCUUAAAUCUCCUCCAGUUCCCGCAAUCAGAUACGCAUUAUCCGCGGCCCUUUUAUUAUAAUAUAUAUUGGGUACAACGCGCCGCCGCCGUCAGCGCAUAAAUCAAUCGCGGAGACACAUUCAAACGAGCAUGAUCCGCACGCCGGGUUGACCGCGCCUAUCACGAUAAAUACUCUCUGUUGUACACUCCGUAUUACUUCUACUGAUCUUUGCGCCAUUUCCUUCAAGUGAUUGAUUCGCCAUUCCUCACGCUAAUUGUUAACUUCUUACAGAUUUUCUCCCGUCAAAAUUGUACCGUCUGCAAACAUCGUACGCCGCGGAAUCUCACCUCAUAUUCCCUCUGUAACAGAAGAAAAUAGGUAUCGACUGUCGAAAAUGCCUAUUUGAAAUUAUCUAUUGCACUCGAAACCUUUAAGGCUUUAAUCACUAUUGAACUGCUGACUUCGAUGAACUAUUUCCUAUCAAGUUACUACCGCGGAUCUCGUUGUAAACAUUCAUUUGUAACUAAUAAUUCAACUUUCCAAACUGAUGUUUUAAAUGUGGUGUUAAUGGGGGACAACAAAUACAUUGUAUGUACACGGAUUUUAAUUAGACAUUCGGUAAAGUUAAUCAUACGCUUUUGUUACUAAACUAAAUUAAAUUGUUAUGGUGAAUUUUCAAAGCGGGCUGAGUCUUAUUUAUAUCGUCGUGCGCAACAAGUUAAAUUAUCGUAUACUUUAUUUGGGGAUUUUAUGGCUUACUCUGGGGUACCUCAAAGCUCUUAAUUGGGUUCGUUAUUAUUCCUAAUCGUCAUUAAUGUUUUUAUAACACGUGCAAUUUCGCCUUAAAUUUACCUUCUUUGAUAAUGGUAUUAAUGUUUUACUGUUUGCUGAUGAUACAAAAAUAUUUGUUCUACGAAAAAUUGUAUAUUUUUACAUACAAAUUUAAAUCGUUUUGUCGAUUGGAGUAUAUUAAACUGCUAUCCUUAUGCAUAUUAAUACAUGCAGCAUAAUAUUAUGUGUUCGUUAUAAUAGCCAUAUCAUAUCUAGUAUUCAGUUGGGGAUAAUGUCUACCAUUAGUGAUUUGAGUUUUUUUUUUUUUAAGUCUGAUUUUACGUUUAAUUUUAAUUUUAAGAUAAUUAUCAAAAAAGCCUUCAAAUGUUUGUUUUUUUUUUUUUUUUUAAUAGAAGUGCUGUUCAAUUUAAUUACACAUUUUGUUUAAAAUCGCUUUACUGUUCCUAUAGAAUUCGGUUCAUACAUUUGGUUUCCAAACUAUGCAGUUUAUAACUGAAAAUGUAUUGUUUAAAUGUUUAAAAUCCUUGGCUUUUGAAAUCAACCUACCUAUCUCUAAGGAUUUGUAUUCUUUGAUUACGAACUCAAUUGGCUUUGACAUGUGUGAAAUUAGGCACAAAGUUGCUGAUUUAAUGCUUAUUUAUGACCCCAUCAACUAUAAUAUUAUUUAUUCAGAUUUAUUAUUUCAAGUUUGAUUACUUGAUACUUCCAGUGUAUUUAACGAGAUAAACAGUAUUGUUUUUGUACCUAAAUAUAAAACUAACUUAGCAGCUAGAACUUUUUUCUUUGAAGCCGUAUAUUUGGUAAACUCUGUGUGUGUUCACUUUUUUGAUAUGUCUUGUGAUCGAUCUAAGUAUGUUGUUUUUUACAUGUUCGUGUGGCGCUAUGAAUCCCGAAUGCCUGGAUGUACUAUAUUCUGCCCUAGUCCGCUCUGUCCUUGAUUUCGGUUCGGUGAUAUAAAACCCCAAACAAGGAGUUAAUAAAAUUGGAAAAGUCUAAAGACAAUUCGUACGUAUCGUCUAUUGCUUUCAAGUUACACUUGGCUGGUAAAUUAAUUUCUACCGUUGAGAUUAGUUGUGGUCUUACACAUCUCGGCGUGAUUAUAAUGUUAUUUUAUUUCUCGACAAAUUGAUAAACGGUAAAGUAGAAUGGCCCGAGUUGCUAAACAAGAUUAAUUCUGACGUUUCACCGAUGAACACUCGAACUAAAAAUACGUUUCACAUUGAAACGCGUGAAUAAAAUUGUGUCCCAAAUAAUCCUAUAAAACGCAUUGUAAAUUGUUGUAACAAUAAACAUUUAAAUAAUUUCGAUUUUUCUUUGAUAAAGGAAAUUCAGUAAGCCACUAUUGUACUAAACUUGCGAACCGGGUUGUAUAUAUUAAUACUUGUCUUAUUAUCCUGUACUCUCUGCGCGCCGGGCGUUAAUAAUCAACGAAUAAACAAAUAUUUUUAUUACGCGUCGAACAGUUUCAAAUUGGCUACGAAUUCGACGCAGUCAUCUUUGUGCGUGUGUGGUUCUCGCCGUUUUUCUGAAAACCGUUGCUUUCCGAAUACGUUAGAAACACAUUUGUGUUAAGUUUCAAAUAUUUUUCAUGCUAUCGCGUAACCGUGAAUAUUUCGCGGACUAGUCAACAUAAAAUUCGACCUCUCGGUGUGAUACAACGAUAUACGGUAGCCAAGCUUUAGAUUUACUCGUAGAGCCGACCACUAUAGCCGCUUACAUUCGUAUUUUAAAAAUAACAUUAUAACACCUGUAUCGGCGGUUAUGAGAUUAUCGGAAAAAAAAAAUUUAGAAAUGUUUUUUUAUCGCGUUGCGAAUACUUAACGCCUCGGUGUACGUAACGUAAUGCGAAAUUCCGGUACUGUUUAUCGAAUCGGACGCGGGUAUGAUAUUUUAUUUCAUUGAUAUUAUUAUUAUUUUAUUUGUAAUCGUUUUGUUGACGGCGGUUAGGUUACGUUACGUGGGUAAAUUCGACAAACACACACACACACACACACGCGCGCGCGCUCUGUACACACAAUAGACGCGUUUAAAGGUACCUACCAUACAUAAUCAAUGUAACCGCGAUGGUUAUGUUAAUAAACACAUCUAAAUUCUAAACGAAUAGCGUAUACCGCGAUUAUAAUAAUAUAUGUCAUCGCGCGAUGGCGCGGCACGGGAGAUUAUAAUAAUACGAGAAAAGGAGCGACGGGGCACGUCGUAUAGGUAAAUACCGUACACGCAGGUAUCCGUCGACAACGACAAAGAUAAGAAGUGUACACAAUAAUAAUAUAAUAAGUACUGAAUAGUAUUAGGACAAAAAAAAAAAAAAACUCGAAUUUCGACACCCGGUUUUUAUCCUUUAGUGUACACAACGCGGGAAUACUAUAAUAAGCCGGUGUUUUGUUAAAACACGGAUCAAAUGGAUCAUCCGCGGGCCGUUAUGCGCGCACGUCAUUACGACCCCGACGUGUAAUAACGACACGCUAUAGAAUGCUGCGUGUGUGCAUGUAUUCAGCUAUACAAUGACGUGUAAUUUUCUGACAUAUGGCCCAAGGUGUUUUUUUUUUUUCAAUCACACCGCGAACUACCCUGACAACAUAAAAAAAAAAAAAUUCCCAUUCAACAGAGUCCUCUUUCACCGGAUUGUAUGCAUACCUAUUCUAUAUAUAUGUACUCGGGGAACCUGUCAGCGCCAUCCACACUAAUUUUCAUUUUAACCACAGCGCGGGUUUUUUUUUUUUUCACUAUCCCGUAUUACAAUAUGAAUUCACGUGAAUAACGAGAUCUCUAAUUAAUUCAUAUUAUGACGUCGUCGUCGUCGUCGUCGUGGUCGUUGUCGGCAGCAAAGGGACGCUAUUUAUUUUUUAACCUCAUCCCCAUUCAGACCGCAUUAUGCGUUAUAAUAAUAAAAUACAGGGAACAGUUUGUGAGCGUUCAUUACCACGCUUAGGCAGCUAUAUAGCCGAGAGAGGAGAUGUCAACGUCAAAAUCACGGUCGUAUCCAAACUGGUUUACCCUGUAUUUGCAUAAUACGCGUGACGUUAAUGUGCGCAAAUUCCUAAUAAAUUACCAUAAUUUUUGGUAAAAACAAGACAGACUGGAUCACUAAACAGAGCAACUCGUGAUAUUACGAUCCUUGUAUCAGGUUUCGAGAGCAUGUUUGCGUAGCUGAAAAUCGACAAUUUCAAUUAUCUAGCUUUAAUAAUAGGUAAUUAAAAAAAAGCAAACAUAUUUCGGUAAUUAUAUGGACAUUCCGACAUUUGGCGUUAAACCCUUCAGGUAUCGACGACUUCUUACUAACUCACAAAAAUAAAAGCAAAAACAAAACACAAAAAUUGAUUAUACAUAAAAACUGGCGUUUAUCGGAGUUUAUCCCAUGACGUAUUAUAAUGUAGGCAAAGUAUGAAUGGUACUCGUGUUUUAAAAAACGAUCUCCUCGAUAUACAAACCACGUGUAUCCAAAAUUCUAAAAAAUCUCAUAUGAAAUUUUUAAUAUUACCUAUAUUACAUUUUGGAAUGCAUUUGCCAGUAAAAAAAAAAAAAAAAACGUACACACACACACAGAUGUUUUGGCGUAAACCCGUCACCGUUACGGUUAAUGUUCAAAGGACGUAACGAAAACUACGGUCCUACUUUAAUAUUCGUGUGUUAUAGUAUUGAAUGAGAUUAAACGAGUAUACUCUGAGAAUCAUAAUUACCGCAACGGACGCGUUUUGUUUUUCAGAUUCUGUUUUAAUAAGUUUGUCCCCUCCUUCCCCCGAAGAAAAAGAUUUGCUUUUUGUCCGUUAAAAGUUCUAAAUUUCAACGUAUAACCUAAAUUACUUACAUGUGCGUACCCGCUACCGAAUUUCCUAUGUGGCGUAUGCUGAGAACAGUGGCCCACGCAUUGUGCGAAGCGUGCACUAAUUAAUUAGUGGACUGUGCGUGUUUCGUUUUUGCUCGAAAAUCAAACGAAAUCCGAUAAGCAUAAGGUGUAUCCGAGAAAACAGAAAAUUUUCUUGCGUUUUCCUUGAAAAUCAUAGAUUUAUCACUACGAAUUCAUACUAACCAUUGUGAAUUAUCAUAAAUAAUUGUAUGGAUAACGUAUAAAAUCGUAAUUAUAUAAACUAUUAAACAUUUCAUGAAAAAAACCAAUAAAUAAUAAUUUGUCUCUUUUCGAAUACCCGUUUUUGCUAUCGUUUGACAAAUAUUCGCUCAAGGCACGGUCCAUUAUAGUUUAUAAGCCUAUAAGGUGCGAAGUAUGUCGGGCUUUCUACAUUAUGAUUUUAUAUAGCACACGUUUAAUUUCGUAAUUUUAACGCUUUUAGAAACGCCGUAAUUUUACAUUCAAACAGUCGACGUUGUUUAUGCGUCUAUAGCUGACGAAACACUGAGAUAUUAAGGUUAAAAAAAUCCGGGAAGCACAAAUGCGCCCCCCGAAAAAAUAUUAAGCGAGAGACCGUUCGUGAUUAUUUAUUAGUUUUUUUUUUUUUUUUUUGUCGGUUUACUAUAACUAUAAUAUAACGUCGGGUGGUAUACGAUAACAGUGCACACAAUAUUUUAGCCAUGUUAAUAGGGUGAUUAAAUGUGCGUAUAAAACCGUAUUCAUUAUAAUAGUAAUACGGUCUGCAACAGUAUAUAUUAUUAUGCUGCUGCAGUAUGGUAUUUAGGUUUAUUAAACUCUCGAGAGACUGUAAUAUUAUAAUACUCCGCGAUGUGGAAAUUAUACGAGUCACGUGUCGCGCAGAGUGCCUAAAAUCCCUUGUCUCGUUCAUCGAGAGGGCGUACGCACCCUGUUCUCUGCACACAGUACAUUAUAAUGUUAUGUCUGAAACUUGUGUCGUAUUAUACGAGAGAAAAGAAAAAAAUAAUGAUAAUCUGAUGUAAUAGGCCAUUAUAAUAUUGUAAAUUUCGUUAAGAGGAUAGAGAGAGAGAGUGGGAGAGUAGCAGCAGUGUAUUGUUUGAAGUAUGCUUAUAUAAUAUCGAACAGUUUCGUAUUUUUUUCAUGUUUAGAACGUGCGCAUAAUAUUAUAAUAAUACAACGCCAGAAAACACGAAGGGAUUAAUAAUAUAUUAUUUUUUCUACGCCAUGAUCCACGCCACGCCAUUCGUAGGUACUUUGAAACCGAUUUGUACACACGAGGUUUAUAUAAAAUAUUUGAAAAGUUAAUAAUUUGUUACGCGAAUUUCUCAUUAUUUUCCCCGGGAUUAUUAGCCACUAGUUGAUUAAGCUACGGACUUGGCCCAUCAACGUCAUGGUACAAAGUUCUUAAACUUAAACCAAUAUGUUGCGAGUAUAAUGAUCAAGUCUUGCAAGUUGUUGGAAUUUGAAAUUAUUUCUUUUACCGGAAUUGCUAAACACAAUGGGAUGAUAGAAUUUCGUAGUUGUCACAAAAGUAUUUCUCUUGGUUUAUAAAACUGUCCGGGUCAACCACAACAGGCUCUCGAGAUUCUGAACUUUCAUGUUGGUUCUGAAUAAAAGGCUACACAUGGCGGUUUCAGCCGUACCGUGAUUUAACCACCUACUAUCGUAUACACUAUAAAAUAGCUAGUGUGUUUAUAACGCAAACUUGUUUGUCGAUUAUAGAAUCUAUUACCGCGAAAUGAUUCGUUUGGGUAGAUUACCGCACGCGACAGUGAAAUGAUGGAUCAACUUCAAGAGGUAUGCUAGAAAGCGACACGCGAAAAAAAGCCCACUCGGGAUGCCCGAUACUGAGAUGGGGAAAUGGGGUGAGAGAAGACGCUAUUUGGAGCAUCUGUGCAGCUAAAAAAUGUAUACUACACUACUAUCUCCCCGUCUAAACUUAAGAGUGGAAUAUCUCGUGAACGAGAUGACGGAAAUCAAAAACACCAACAUUUAUUUUAUCUAAUAUCCCAUCUAUUAAUGGAAUUUUUAAUGUAGGUUCUUAUUUGAAAAAUCAAAGUCGGUAUCGUCACACGGGCUUCUUAAAUGUUUUGAAAAAUCGAAGCAUAUGAAAAUAUCGUCUUCAACUACACUCAAAAAUUCCAAAAAUCAGAAUUUAACCCUAAAACCGGGAUGAGCAUGCUUAAUGAAUCACCCUGUAUAUUCGCAUUUACCUCAUUUCCACACAAGGCCAGAGUUACAGACGAACGCCUAAUGAACCAAUACAAAGCCGCCGGGCAUCUUGGCAUCUUUUCAUAGGAACACGUCAAUCUCCGAGUUUUACAACAACAUGUUUUGCCAAAAGCGCUUAGCGAACACUAUCGGAUGGAAGGUACGAAGGGACCCGCUGACCAUACCUCAGCAAACGAGUCGUAAGCUACGCGAUCACCUUGACGUUAGAUUAUAUUGUGAUUAAAUUAUAUAUAUAUAAUAAUAUACAGUGACCCGUUUCACAGAUUUAUUAGAUUAAAAAGAACAUAUGCCACGAAUUAUUAUUUUUCAAAUGAAACCGCAUAAUGUUUCUGUUCAAAAUAGAGAACAGUUUUCAUGUUUUACGUAUAUUAUACUUUCAUUAUUAAGUUUAUGUUUUUAUCACGUUUAUAAAUAACGAAUUCUCUAUAGUAUGUUUUACCAUAUUUGGUUGUAGAACAACCGUAUUAAACCUAAAAACAGCAGUUGCGUUUUACCAAAAGGCUAUGAUGACAUUGAGUCUAGGAAAUAACGGUCAAAUAAAAAAAACGGACACGGAAAAAAUGGCCGUAGAAAAAUAUCGCCAUGCACCGAAAUGGUCAGUGAAUAAAAUGGUCAAUGGAGAAUUUCGGUUAUGCCUACCUAUAAUUAAAAUUGUUGAAAAGUAUCGCGCCAAAAAAAAAUGUAUAUAAAUUGUAUAUACAACGAAAUUUUAUAUAUAUAUAUUAAACAUCUAAAAUGUACAAUUGAAAUAAGUACUUAUUGUUAUUUACAAAUGAGAUUAUUACCCGUUUUCAUUAUAAGACGCUCUCAUAAGACGAUAAUCUUGUAUUUUAGAUAGCGCUUAAUAUUAUUUUUGCAACGAGAAUAAAAUGAUUAGAAUAUACGUCAGGGUUUACGUUUAAAGUUAAUUAAUAACUUAUUUAGAGUAGCAAACGAUCACGUCUCAUGUAUAGGUUCAUCUAUAUGGUUUAUUAUAAUUGGUAAUAGUGACCAAAUUCUCGUUAGUAAUAAUCUUGCGUCCAUCUCGCAACAUCUUCCCAUUCAAAGCGAGAGCCGUGAUUAGGGAUUUAUAAUAUACCAUGUGUAAAAAUGGAUUUUCACUUAGUCAAGCACGUCCAGCGAGUUCGAAUUUUCUACGUUUGAUUGUAUCCAAUAGAUGCGGUUUCUACGAGAAUUUCUCUAGCUCGUUCAUUUUUUCUUGUUCUCCAUUCAACCUCCUCUUUCACUGAACGUUACGUGGACUGAAUUUUAUUAAACAAAUUUAUUCAAAUAUCGGACAUUUUAAAUCGAAAUGAUUUAAACUUUAAAUUAUUAUACGAAUAAUAUCAUUUUAGAAAUUAUAAUAUGGUACGUAUUUUAAAGUUUUACUUAAAUAACAUAAUGAGGCGCGUAGAAACGUAUCGAACCGUAUUGGCCCAACCCACGAACGUGGAUUUUUACAACACAGGCACUCAAAAGUUUUACUUUUUUUCAUUAAUUUGGUUCAUUUAAAUUAACCGACUCAAAGGAAACCAAAAGUAUUAUAGACUGUAUAGAACAAUCAUUUAUAUAAAUAAUGAAAUAAUAAAUAAAAACAAAAUUAUUGAAAUGGUUGUUAAUGCUCGUAAAUAAAUAUAUAAAUAAAAAAAUUUAAAUAUAAAAAUAAAAAUAAUUACAUUUUGUAUUUAUUUUGUUUAAUUUACCGGCAUUGAAGUUGUAUACGUUUUUAAUAUCAUGUGAAUUUAUAUUAUGUAAUGUUUGAGGUUAUCCAGUAUAGGUACUUGUAAAUUAAAAUCAAAAAGUAAUACAUUUUAAAAAUUAUAAAAAUAUAAUUAUAGUCAUAUAGGCAAUACAUUUAGACACUUUAUGAUUUAUCUUUUGAAAGAUUUUAAACGUAAAUUAUUUUUGUAGGCGUGUUGCAAGUAAACCGUGAUAGAUAAAUUAUCUAACCAAAGCGUAUUAUUUUUCUAUUCGACGUAAUUAUCCAUUUCAUUCGUGAUGUGUAAACAUCACGAUAAUAAUAUUUCCUAUUUGUUAUUUUUAAAAUUGUAAGAAUAGUCUGAUGAAAUCACCACGAUACUACGGACAAUAACCAACUUAAUAAUUGACAAUUGGAUCCAACACCCCUCCCCUCCAUUCGGGAAUAUUGGCCCGAGAACAAUAUAUUUUUGUUUUCGCGUCUGUGUUAAAAAGAGCAAACGGUUGCGAUUCUACAAUCGCAAACCCAAACAGUUCUACGCAACGAUUGGACAAACUAAAAAAAAAAAAAAUCCACCGGAAAAAUCGCCAGAUAAAAUAACACGUAAAGAAUCAUUCUGUAUAGUGUACACUAAUAUUUCGUAUGUUAUUCCGUCGGUUCUUUAGAGUUGAUUUAGUGUGGACAAUUUAGUCUGAUAAUUAUUGUACUUAUUACGUUCGCUUAAUCGAUAAAAAUGACUCCAUAAUAAACGAACAAAUAACUUUUUAAGCUUCCUAGUAACGCCAAUUUAUGCAUUUACAGUAAUCUACGCACGUCCCAAUCGAGAGCGCAUGAAGUGGCUGAAUUACUUGGUAAUCCGUCUGUGAGCCCCCGAUAUUAAUAAUUUGCGUUGAGUUUUUAUUAUCUGAUGAUACUCGUAUUGUUCACUAAUAACAUUAUCAGUGGCACUGUACGGAGUAAACCCUUCGGUCUGUGUAUUUUUAGCCGUUGAUUUCAUAGCUGAUAACAUUACUAUUAUUAUAAUUAUUUAAAAAACACACAUGCAGGUUAGGUUAAGUUACUAUGUAACCAUAUAUAUAUUACGGUUUCAACGUGUUCAAACGAAAUGUUAAAAACUGUUGCGCGCCACGUGUAUCGAACUAUAAUACUGUAUUUUAAUUUGAUACACGCACUUUACGCACGUGUACGAUAUACAUGCACUUUUUUUUUAUCUUCAUAAUAAUAAAUAAAAAACCACAUAGGUAACCAAUCUAAUCUCGAAAUAUUAAAACUAUAGAUAGACGUGUAACAACGCGAUACGCACAAUAUAAUAUUACCUUGUGUGUUGUAUAAUGUUAUCUUUUCACAACGAUAUUAUAUAAAUGAAAUUAAUCAGGUUUCUAGAAAAUUAGAAAUAUAACGGUACAAGGUAUUGGGCGUGCGCACAUAUUGUUACGUUAUUAUAGAUAGAUAAGCAACCGCGGUUGAAAUAUGUCGUUCGGUUAAAAUGCGUGCCACUUAAUUUACCGACCUGACGGCAUAUCGUACCGUUACACCCGUUAACCGCGUAUCUAUACACGUAAACGGCGUAUUAUAUAUUAUUGUUUUCGCGUACGUUUCACGGUGUUUAUAAUAAACGGCGACAGAACAAUCAGACUGUACGCGAGAACGAAAACGAUAAGUUUCAGUAGGUGCCGCCUGUCUGUUGUCGGAGCCUGCACCCAAUGCGCUUAUUCUGGCGCGCAGGGCCGUCCGGAUUCGUGCACGGUGUAUCAAUCGCCCCCACCCCCUUGACGUUUGUUUUCGGCCGCACGAUUGCGCGGACUUUACAUUUUUCGGGCGUACGGUUGCGCGCGGCGCCAGCGAACAACAAUGAAUGAAUACGAUUUCGACCCUUCAAAAGCUACCCGCGAAAUUGGAAGCCGCGCCGCGCUUAAGAUUAUUAUUAUAGAUAUUAUUACGAUAUUAUUUAAUUGGUAAAUGAUCGAGUUUUCAGCGGUAUAGUGGUGAAGUUUGUUUCGUCUUUCAAUGUAUACGGUCUGUCUAACCGAUCACGUGUCUUUAUGCUCCAACGUGCCACUCGCGUUGUUCGCAAAUUCAGAUCGCAUCAAUUUUAUCGACCGGGUAGAUACGGAACUUCUGGCUUUCCGUUUAAACAUUUCCCGUAAAAUUUGUUUAUUGAUUUUAUCGAUCUGAAUCAAUUGAAGGGGAAUUAUGCUUCAAUCGUAUUUCUAUAAUUGAAUUACACAUCAACAUUUACAGAGAAGCCGUACACCGUUUACCUGUAUAGUAGGGUGUGUACGAAUGGGACGUCGAAAUCUGCGAGAUUAUUCACCGUGUAUUCAAUUUUACAAUGUUGCGUAGAAAUAAAAAUUGUGUGUCGCGCGCAAUCGUAAUCCACCGAUUUUUAGUAUAUAUUAUUACCAAUUUGUUUAAAUUAAAUUUCUUUAAAUUUUAGUGAGAAAAAUAACAAAUGUAUUGGUACCUGGUUUAUAUAUCAAAACAAUCUUAACCUAAAUACCUACAUACUAUUUGAUUGUUUAAAAACAAAACCUAUCCAAAUCACGGCAAUAUAAAGGAGGUGAGAUUAGUACUUAAAUCGUAUAUAAACUAAUAAUAAUCAUAAGUAAUGCCUAGUUAUUCGAUUUCAAUGAUAAUUGUAGGCUGUGGAUUAGAUUGAACUAUAAAUUGUUUUUAAAAAUUGCUGUUUUUUUUUUAGCCUGUUUACACGUUUUAAAAUAUGAUUUCCUAACUCAAUAUCGCUCUACUUGGCAAAAUCCAAACAUAUUCGAGUUAUUCACUAGAUCCGUUUAAUAAUGUCUACAAAAAGUAGGUACAUGUUGUCUUUAUUUUAUAAUUAUUACUUACGAAUUGAAUUUAUUUUAAAGUGAAUUUAUCUCGGCAUUUCUCAUAUCGUAUAUUGUUUUGCUCGGUGUUUUAUUAUUUUUCUCUGUAUUUUAACGCAUAAAAAAAAACAAAAAAAAAUACACGUCGGCUUCUUCACAAGAACAUAGAUAAUAAUAUCAAAUAAUAUGUUUUAUAAAUUUUAUCAUCAUAUAAUAAUAAGUACUUUUAAACUAAGCAACCAGAUAUAAGUCGGCGAAUGAUCUUAUAAAAACCGUAUUAUUAAUGUUUGAUUGUAAAUGAAAAAAAAAAAAACAAAAAUUACAUUAUUCCGUAUAAAAUAAUAUAAAGAUAACACUGCAGCAGUAUUAUGAUUUUUAAUAUUCUUCAAAUAAGAUAAAAAUAUUUUCGGAAUCAGUAAAUAUUCAAAUCAAUUUUAUUUUUUAUUUAUUUAUUAUGGGAUUAUUUUUACAAUAAUAUUAUAAUUACAAUCGUUGAACAACUGUUAAAAAUCUAUUCGGUAGAUUCAUUUUUCUUUUUUUGCAAUCGUUCUUGUUAUUGUAUUUUAUAUCCCUAUUACACUCGAGUAAAAAAAAAAAAAAAAUUAGGUACGUUCACUAAAAACAAAUAUUAUUCGACGUAGAAAUUAUUUUGAAUAUCAAUUGUUUUGUUUUAUUAUAUUUUAAUAAAGUCAUUAUAUUUUACUUACUACGAGCCGAACGAUGAUAUAAGAUUAUGUAAUAUUAUAAUAAUUUAUUACACUGCUUAUUGGUGUUUUCGCGAGUUAAAAAGAUUUAAUGAAAUGUAACUGUUUUUCUUCUUAUAAACCGAACUUACAAUUAAAUCAACCAUGCUCUAUGGACAUGAUAAUCCCCGUUGAUCCUGUUAAUAUUAUUAAAACGAUUGCACCAUACCUAAACGUUUUGUUUCAGUCAUAAAUACUACUCGUCAGUGAGCAAAGAAUAGAUGUUUUACUAAAGUAUUUGGAUUUUAUACAUUUCCUGAUGUAGCUUGUUUGCUUGUUGAUAUAAUUUGCAUACAAUUACACGUGAUGAAAUACAUGUAUCUGACGGAUUUACACAAGGAAUAACUUUUAAAACUCAAUUACUUACCGAUUUACUUCUUUAAUAUGAGAUAAUAUUCUUGCAGUGCAUAUUUAUUUUCAAAUUUUUUUUUAACUACGCCGGUUUAUUUAUAUCUGUAGAGGAAAGACGUGAAUGCAAUUCAAUCUUUUGAUAAUAUGACCAAAAUUUAGUAUAAAUAAGUCUUUAAAAUCUCAAUCAUGCGAUUUUGAUCUAGUAAUUAAAUCAACUAAGAAGUUUAUAAUUUGGGCGAAAGAAAAAUUUCAAAUAGAUGUCUAUUAUGUUCAGUAUGACCAAAUAAUUACCCGCUCGUUUUGAUAAGCGUUAUGUUGAGAACGAACAAUUAUUUGUUAUUUUGAUCCACAAUAUUUUAACAAUGGUAAUAAUUUAUCAAAUUUAGCAUUCGAUUUCUGAAGUAAAAAACUAUAUACAUUUAAAUAGAAAAAAUUGCUGCUGCAAUAUGAAUAUCCAACCGGACAUGAUGAGUACAUUAUGUAAAAGCCGGAAUUAAAAAAGUGAACUUGUAUUGGCUGAAAUAUAUAAUUUCUGGGUAAAAAUACUAAACAAAUAUUCUUAGAGGUUAUAAUUUUAAACCGUGGGAGGAGGGGGGAUAUCUCUUGUGCACUGAACCGGAUACCGUCCGCGUGAUUGGCAAAAAAUUACCCGGGCUAGAAUUUUAGUUGAAAAACCAAAUUUUCUCCAUAAAAAGUAUGGGUAUAUUAAAAUGGACUGUGAAAUUGACCUACCGGCUACAUCCUUCCGACGGUUAUAAUAUGAACCAAACCCGUUAUUGCAGGCUGCAAGAUCGCGAUAAAAAAUAUCUCCCCGUAUAGAUACUAAUAUUAUAAUGCGGUAAAAGUGUGAUGGGAAUUUUAUUAUAAUUAUCAAAUUUCGGAAAAUACAUGUUAUUAUACUCGUUAGACUCGUCGUCGUAUAUAUUUUGUUGGCGAGGGGUUAGUGUACAUAUAUAUUGUCUAGUACUACGAGUUUAAAUUAUUAAUACCGCGAUUUAUCAAGCCGGUGUCGCCGUCACCACGAGAUCUGUGGGAUAUAGUUGAUGGCGUAAUUUUUUUACUUUUUUUUAAUGAAAUCGUAUACCACCGGGAACAAAGUAUAAAGUCUCACUCCGUCUCUUUCUUUCUCUCUCUCUCUCUGUCUCUCUAUCUCUCUCUCGUGAUGACAACAAUAUAACGUUAUAUUAUAUCAUUAUAUUAUACGCGCACUUUCUUUCUUUAUUCUCGUAUACUAUUAUAGCGAUGGCUGCUGCUGCUGCUGCUCGCGAAACAAUUUCAAAACUAAACAUAUGGCGCGAUGACAAAUAACGCGAUACGAUCCGCGCGCGCGGGUCUCAUUUAUUCGCGCGCCGCGACUUUGUCCCAUUAAUCUAUACGGGAGAACGUCUUCACGUCGCCGUCGUUCCGGUACAUUUGUUGGCUGAAAGAGACGGAGAGAGGAGCGAGAAGACGAACGACCCCGCGAUCGGCGUGCUCUGCACGCGAUAUAUAUAACGGACGUCUAUAAACGACAGGAAACGUAUCGCGUAUAUACACAUAACUAAUAUCGUUUCGUACUAAAAAAAAAAAAAAAAAAACCCCAAAUAAAAACCGACUUCUUCCUCUUCGCGGUUUUCUCCCUUGUAACAACAAUUGCGUUCGGAUCGCAUCGUGCAAGACGCGAAAUAAAAAUUACGCGCCAAACGUUCGUAAAAUAUAAAUAUAAUUCCCAAUAUCAUCUCCAAGGUUAUGACGGGGAAAAUAAACUGUCAGGCACAACACAAUUUUUUUUUUUUUUUUCAUGUAUAUAUCAAGUGAUUUACAUGCCUAUAUCAUUUGAUCCUCACUGGGGAAAUUCAAGCCAAGUUUGCACGUCCAAACUCUAUUGCAAAGUUGUAAAACCUUAUUUGGUAUAAUAGGGAGCGCUGCUGCCCGUACUCAAUCUAAUUGAUUGUACUUUUAUCCAUAGUAUAAUAUACUCUAACCGAGAUUAAAACGACAACUUGUAUCAUCUUAAUGUAGGAAGGACAAUAUAAAUCAUAGAAUUUCUUAUUCGAGUUAUAUUAAAUAGUUUUUAAUGAUAAAUUUAAGUUUGAACUGUAUACACGGCUCACAAUUUGGACAUUUUUUUUAACAACCUUCAUAACACACAUCACCUUAGCCUCCUUUCGCCAUUUCCACUCUUACUCCACACGCCAUCAUAUCUCCCUGUACUCUGUAUAAUAUAAUAAUAUCCUCUAGCCACUUUUUCAUUUGUUUACCAUUUUUCCCGCCCACUCUUGGUUUCCGCCAACAGAACUUAUCUCGGUUGCAUAUCUUAUUGUUGACUGUACUAUAGUUUCUCCUUCUACUCCGCAUAUCAAUCAAUUAUCUCUCGCAACUUUCCAGUUGAAUACUUUGUACUCCUAUACAUAGACUACACUAAAAAAAAAAAAAAAAAAUUUAAAAAAAUGAUAAUAUCCGGUCUCAGAAUAUUAUUAUAAGAUAUAGUUCAAAUCGAGGUACGACGUCAUGCCCGUCCUUGGUAUUUUGUGUCAGCGGGGGCUCACCACCUACCGAUUUGACGGUAUAUCUAAUAAAACAAUAAUUAUCAUAUAUAUUAAUAUACAUUAAUGCCGCCGCUCAAAACAUAUACAUUUUUCCCAUAAAUAACCGCCUGGUAAAUUAUAAAAUAUUAACUUAUAUUAUACCACAUGCGAUAACGAUAUAAACGGUAUAAAUCGCAAUCGCCACUUCCGCCGCUAUCCGUGACUUGUAGUUAGACUACGGAAAUGAGGAUGGAAUAUUCGAAAUGCGAUAUUAUUAUACACCGCUCGAAUGAAAUAUCGAAAAAAUAUAUGUGCUGACAAUGAGUAGUUGUCCGUUGGACGGGAGUCUUUUCCGUAUCUAUUAUACGUUGCUGUUGACAGCUUAACAAAAAGGCCAAUAUAAUUUGAAAAUAAUAAAUUGCCUCCCCCCCUCUCCUCUGUAUUAUUGAUGGCGGGCGUCGUUAGAACAUUUUUUCGGUUUAAAGACUAUUUUAGAGCUGGACUACCGUUAUUGGAACUCUGAAAACUCUCAAUUUAUUUGCUAUAUUAUCCAUAAGAAAGAAAAAUGCCGCAAGUGCUACUGUGACGUUUUCUUAAAGAUGUGAACAAAUACCUGAUUCGUCGGGGAACCGCUGUCGGGGAACUGAAAAUUCGUCGGGGAACCGCUGGAAAUGUCGAUGAAUAUUUUAAACAAAACACCAUAUCUCGUAAGAAAAAUUCGCGAUAUGGGAGUUGAGGUAUGGGAGGGAGAUCACGCGUACAGGUAUAGGUAUACACGCCGUAUAAUACUAUGACGUAUAUGCUUGUAUAUUACUAUAAAAUGAUCGCUUCCAGUGCGCGUUAGUUGGCUCUUAAAACACGUAUAUUAUUAUUUCACUUACGCCCGGUCCGGUUCGAAAUCCGGAUUAAGACGACGACGGGAAUCUGACGGUGCGCGUUAAGCGAUUCAUAAAAGCCGUUUCGUGCAGCGGUCUCUCGUAUCAGCGGCCGCGACCAUUUGUCAGACAUAAACUAGAUUAAUUUACACCGUGUAUACCCGCCUAUAUUAGGCAUAAAAUAUGUGCGAGUGUAUUUUAUACACACUAAUAGAAUAUAAAUUAUAUUGCGAUAUACAGGUAUACGGUGUUAUAAUAGGCGGGGCGGGUUUAUCGGGAUUUUACACAACUACUCGCUUAUACUACAUCGUUAUGGGUACCUACCCGAGCGUCGAAUAUAAGAUAAUCCACGGCGUGUGUGUGUGUGUGUGUUUCUUUUUUUUUUAUUUUUUAUUUAUGCGCUUCAAAGUGAUACUUAUCGCGUUAUAGAGAGUUUUAAAAGUAAAUACGUAUAUAUAAAUAAUUUUUUUUUUCUUCUGAAAAAACGGUAAUAAUCGUAAAUUAUAUUGAUGCCCGCCGCACACGCACACGCGUCUUAUAUUAUAGGUACCUAUAUAAUAUGUAUAUGUAUAUAUAUAUAGAUAGAUAGAUAGAUAGGUAUACCUAUAAUAUGUUAUAUUCACGACUUGUAUAAUUAGAGGUGACUAUAUUAUUGACUCGCCCGAUAUUCCCCUCUUCUAUUAUUUUCGUUUUUUAUUUUUCUCGAUAAAGUAGCCGGUUUCAGCUGCUCUGUGGGAAUAAAAUAUUAUUUUAUAAACUAAAAAAAAUACAAUUAUAAUAAUAUAUGUGUAUAUAUAUAGUGGGACGGCUAAUAAAUAAAGAAAUACCUAUAAAACUCGCGAGUUAUGUACGUAUAGGAAUAAAUCAAUUUCUUUUAUAUGGAAAGUAUAAUAUAAUAUACUGUUGUAUAACUUUAACAUAAAUAAAUUUAGCUGAACCGUUAAAAAGUUAAUGGUAAUUUUAUUAUUUAUUAAAAAAAAAAAAAACAACUAUGUACGUCAUAUUAUUCUUUCGAAAAUAUUACUCCGCGAUAAUAAUAUAGUAUGUUUAUAACAAUAACAAAUGAUGGGUGUUUUAGUCAACAGUCAUCGUGUAAAAUGAAACGAAAAGCCACCGCCACCGCCGCCAGUCGUUAUAUUUAAAAAAAAAAAAAAAAAACCAACAAUAUUAUUAUAUUAUUUACUCGACCGCGUCCGUCAAAUAUAAUUAAUACUUUCGAUCGUUAUAACAACCAAUAAUAACGGCUGUAGUUUAUUUUCGGUAUACGAUUAGGGUUAGAAAAGUGAUGCCCCAUAAAACUCUGAAAAUUCAACCAAAAUUUAAAAUAGUGAAUCUAUAUAAAAUGCAAUUAAUGCUCAUUAUAAUUUAAAAUUCGAUUUGUAGAUUUCGAAACCAUGAAAAUUUUCUAAAAAAAAAAAAACGAAGAAAAUUACUUAAAAAUCAAAUAUAGUUUGUUAAAAACUUGAAAGAAGUAUUUGCGCAGGUAUUUCGGAGUGUUUAACAUGUAUUUUUUGAAAGAAAUCUCUUCAUGCAUACGUUAGAAUUCCAACCAACAUCAGCAUUAUCAUAUCUUAAGAAAUGAUAAUAUUUUAUGUAUAGAGGCAUUAGAGGCAUUAUAGAGGCACCAUAAAAUACUUUUCACUCGGAUCUUCAGUGUCUUUCUGCUUAGAAAAUCAAAUGCCAAAUAUUUAUAAACGAACCGUAUGUAUUAUUAUUUUUUUUUUUUCAAGAAACCGCAAAAAAAAAUAAAAAAUUAAAAAAAAAUCUAAUAUUAACAAACGAGUUUGCGGUUUACUAUACAGAAUAUAAUAUAUACUGAUAAACGCAUCGUAUACACGGCGUACGUACAUACUACAACGUGUUAUUAUCAUUAUUAUGCUCGCGUGUAUUAUUAUUAAUAUUAUGUUAAAAAGCUUGAACGCGAUGUAUUUUGUACAUAGGUAUUAUACAUAGAGGUAAGUACGGGGAAAAAGUCGAUUAUUCGGAUUGCUCGUGGUGAAUACCCUUCGGGGUAAAUAUGAUAAUAAUUCGGGUCUUCGACACGUCGUUUUUGUAUUUUUUCGACCACGUAUAUAAUAUUAUAGUCUCGUCCGCGAGGAUAACAAUAUAAUACUCGUAUAAUAUUAUAAUGACGACGUGCGUAAGUAUAAUAUAAUAAUAUUCAACUUCUUAUAAUCACACGGUAUCGACUAUAUAUAUAUAUAUAUUAUAUGUGUGUAUAGGUAAUAAUGAUAUAUACGGGAAAAUGUGCCAGCCAGAGUGUACCUACUUAUAAUAGUAAAAUAUCACGUGAAGAAUUCCAACGUUCUUAUAAUAAUAUAUUGUAGACAUUCGGCUAUCCAUCAUCGGCCGUUGCUGUUAUAACGUCACGAUUAUUAUUAAGGUACCUAUCUAAUAUUAUGAUGCCACUUGCCGUUCGUUCGUCGCGAUUAACCGCCUCUACACUAUAGUCGCUUCUGUUACGGGAUAAUAGCGUAUUUUUGAACGUCACAUUCACAAUAUAGCCUAUAUAUCCAUUAUGUAAAUCUAUAGGUACCGUUUCGGGCGACGAAAACCGGCCGAUUAUUAGGGCCCAGCAGUAUAAUAUACACCGUGAUUCAUUAGUUUCCGUUCGAAUCGCUUUAACUCGGCAUAACAGUCAAUCCGUUAAUCCGGUUUAUCGCAAGAUGGAGCAGCAGCCGCUGAUGGAAAUUAAAACUUCGCCGGUGUCUAAAAAAAAAAAAAAAAAAACCUAGCUACGUGAAAGAUAAAGUUUCUGCGCCACCCUUACUCAUACGGACCUGAACGACCCCAAAAGCAAGAUUACAGUGGAAGGCGUGAUGCCCGAGUUAAAAUCAAAAACGUUUCUAUAGAGUCUAGAGUUUAUGUUUUAAGAUCUAAAUUUGUUUAUAUUAAAACCACGUUGAGUGAUCAGAAUAAAACAAGCUUAUUAUAACCUAUCUAUUUAUUUGCAUACAUUUUCUCUAACUUGUCGGUCUCUGUAUGCUGGAUGUUUUCUUCAUCUCGGUCCCCACAAUUUUGAAAUAUCGAGAAUCUACUGUAACAGGUGAAGUAUUUAAUUUAUAUUAAUUCGCGACAUAAUAAAUAAAUAAUUAUACGUUUCGUGAAUCGAACAACUUUAUUGAGAUCUAGAUAGCUGUACACCGAAUCUGGCACGUUUUUGGCAAGUAAUUUUAGCAUUUAAAUGAACACAACUUUUAUUCUUUUAAUUUAAUUACAAAGUUACUGAUAAAUUGUCUUCGCAUAGAUUUAUAUUAUAAAUAUGUGUAUAAUUAUUCUUAUAUUUAUAGACAUUUUAAUAUAUAUCGUUGUAAAACACUUUAAGUCUAUAGGUACCGUUUGUAACACAUUGUUUUAUUUUAAAAUGGGUAUUUAACGGUAAAAAUUUAGUCGCCCCUUCUUAAUUUUUCCUUCUGAAACAACUGUCACGCUAUACAAUAUAAAUACACAUGCCAUUAUGGGUAUUUUAAUUUAUUACAACGUGUUAGGAAUUCGCAGAAGUACUAAGCAAAAGGAUACGGCUGGGCCGGACGUUUCUGGAGAACGGACGGCGUUGAAAUAUGGAAACCAGACGAACAAAUUCUGAAAGGACGACCAACACAGUAGUGAACAGACCGAAUCAGGGAAGACCUCAAGCUCCUGGGAAUAUGAGACGGAGAACAACUGGCUGAGGACAAGGAGGCGUGAGGAAUUGUAACGGAAGCGGCAAUGGGGCUUACAAGGCCUGGAAUUGGGAAAAAAAUGAAUACUAAUAAGUUUUAUACCGCGUGUUGUUAUACUCGAUGUUUUAUUAAAAGAAAACACGUCCGCGGACAAAAUAUAAAUUACUACGACGACAACGACGCGAUGAUAUUGUGAUGUGUGUGCGUCGUAUUCUAUAUUAGCUCCGGUUCGCGUGUGGAUUCAAAAAGUCGAAAACAUUUCUAGGAAAAAAAAAAAAAAAACACCGCGCUCACAAAGAGCACCGGCGCGAUUAUUAUUAUUAUUUUACUACGGCGACGUAGAGUUAUAUACGAAUCCGGAAACGAGCUGUCCAAACAAACAUCACGCGCUCGCACGCGUUAUAAUAUAUUAUUAAAUCAUUUUUAAAAAAAAAAAAUAAUAAUUUUUUUUUUCCUUCUGUCGGGACAACAAUAAUAACACAAUAAUAAUAGAGUAUAUGAAAGUCACUAUAUGCCGCCGUGCACGGUGAUGUUUCGCUGCCACCGUAAUAGUCCGUCCGUCAACGCCACUGACUGCCUAUACCUACCGUGCGAGGUGCUCGCGCGUGACGGCGCACGGCAAACGAUGUCAAACGUCGUCUGACGUGUGUAGGCCCGUGACGACGCCCGAAAACUACACGCAAAAGUAAACGCGGGGACCGAUGUAUUCCCGCGGGAACAAUAGAAAUAUUACAAUAAUUAUAGAUUUGGCAAUGUAUAACGCCAAAUGUCGAAAACCACCGAAAAUCAUCUUGGAAAAAAAAAAAAAAUGUCAAUAAUCUCGUAUCGGAAGUCUGUCCGCUAAACAAGUCCGUUACAGUUUUAUUCCGAUGAAACUUUGCACACUCUACGUACAAAAACAAAAAUGAGGUCCCUAUCUAGUUUUUAUUUCGAAAUUAAAUUCCUCGAAGGCGCGGCUCACGUUUGAUUUUUUUAAUAUUUUAAUAUGAAAAUUGAAUUUUAUUUCGAGUAGAUUCAACUUCAAGUUGGUAGAUCAAGUUGGUUUUCACGGGCAAGGAAGUAUGGUAUUUUAAAAGAUAAAUUUCGGGGCAACAAUGAAUAACUGUGAGAAGGAUAAGGAUGGAAAUGAAGAGAAAAACUGUAAACGUCUUUUAUUGAUUUAUUGAAAUCACAGCCCGUGAUUGUCGACUUUGGCGCGUUCCCUACUCCCCACUCCCUCUUAAAAGUACAACCGUAUAGUCGAAGUCCUAAUUGGCCUAAUUUUUACAUUACUAACCUGGAUCCGUUCUCAGAGUUGUUUAAUUUUAACUAUAGAGAAAUAAACGAGUAAAAAAUGAUCAUCAAGCGUCUCCAAAGCGAAUUUUUCUGAGGCAGAUAGUUACCCAGUUAUUUAGAUUCGCUUUUACAAAAACAAUUCUAUAUCAGUAUUUCCAUAUUUUCAGAAAUCUACCUAUGAGAAAUCGAUAAAGAAAAAUGAUAAAAUCGUCAGAAACUCAAGUGCCCAUCUUGUAUAUAAAAAUCAAGCUUAUUAUAAAAUAAUAUUUUCUUAUUUCCAGAAAAAAAUAAAUCAUUAAAAAUGUUUUUAUACAAACAUUAAAUAUAUUCAGUGAUGCAGCAAGAAAAAUAUGACCUUUUUUUCUCGAACAAUUAUUGUUCUACGAAAAACGUUAAAUAAUAUGUUACUACACACAGACGUAUUUUGAACUUGAUUAUUUUAUUAUUUGUUUUUUUUCUUUAACGUCGUGUCAUCGGUAUGUUUAUGAAGUUCUUAAAUGCUUUGACAGGGCUUUUUUUUUCCCUCGGGGAUCCAUGCUGUGGCCUUUUUAUCUUCCCUUCGUUCUUAAUCUAAUAUAUUGUUCUGAAAGUGCCGUGUUGCGUAAAAACGGCUCGUUAGAAUGAAUGUUAAGGUAAACAGGCAUUUCUUACCGUGAAUCAUUUCUGUCUAAAAAUAUUUUUUCCUGGACAAUGUUCACCAGUAAUUCGAUUGGUUAUACACACAUAUUUUUUUUUUCUACAUUAUUAUAAUAAUGUCAUGUUUCACAUUUCUGUAAAAACGUCAAGUUAAAUCGGAAAAACUGUAUUUACUUACCUACAUAAUAAAUUAUCUUUUUUCGCGGCGUUUAUAGACUCGUAAGAGUUUUCACCGUCAACACGUUUUCGUUCGUUUUUGAUCCUAGACAUUAAUUCUUCAACCGUGCACGGACUUUUAAACAAUCUAAACCCUUUUCAACCGCAUCCAACCUCCUAUCUCGGGUUCCCGUCGAGGUCUUUUCCCCCUUGGUUUCUGAUUCAUAACGGUUUAAUGACGAUUUCACGGUCUUUACUCGUUACGUGUUCGAGUCAUUAUAAAUAUUAGUACCAUAGUAACUUUUGACUGUUUAUGAAGGGCAGUUCAGACCAUUGUCAACGUCGGUAUCCGAUAAAUUGGCAGCGACUGAAAAUUGGUUGCGGAAAAAAAAAUUAUUUAGUCACAUUUCCGUUUAGAUAUUUCUCUAGGCAUAAAACACCUAGUUCCGGCCGCACAAAAUGUGUUAAUUAGCCGCGUAGUAGGCACCGCCGUUAUAGAUAACGUACAUGGUUUCAGAGACGGUAUUAAUUUGCAGGUAGGAUUGUAGAGUAAGAUUGGAGACGUAGGUAGGAGCACCCAGGGGCGAACCUAGCCGGGGGGAGGGAGUAUGGUGGUCAUAUAUCCUCCACCCGCCCUCAAUAAUUGUUUUUUUUAACUUAUCAGUUGGUUAUUUUACAUUUAUGAAAAACUGAAUAACUCUACAUAAUGGCCAACUGAUAAUCUGCAUAAGAUUGUGAUAGUGAUGUUGACUAGCAUUAUCUAUUGUUGGAAAAAUAAGUUAAAAGCUGUUAUCAGUGGUGCGUCAGUAUUAACAACAGUGCUGUGCAGCGAUGAGGGGUAUUAUAAAUCCCAAUGUUAAUGGUACCCGAUGUUAUGAACAGUCAAUCGAACGUGGUUAACUUGAUGACUUCUAUAGUUCUGUAUUUUAUUUACAAUAAAAAUUGAUGAUUAUGAUAUAUUGUUAUCUGUAAUACCUACGUUUAUUCGACAUAUAUAUAAGUAUGAUAAUACUUGUCCAGUUUUAAUGUAUAUGUAUACAAUUCUCCGGUCACAGGUGUUCGUUAUUGAACUCCUCCCGAAACGGCUUGACCGAUUUUCAUGCAAUUUCUCGUGUAUAUUCGGUAGGUCUGAGAAUAGGCCGUAUAGUAUAGUACUUUUUUUUUUUUUUGUUGAUUUAUGUUACCCUGGUAACAGAGAUGAAUAACAAACAUUGUGACCGGAGAAUUGUAUAUAUAAGAUAAGGUGUUUGUUUAUUCAAGGGUUGCCACGGAAAAGAAAACUAUUAUAAUUAUUACUAUUUACACUAUUCGAAUUUCUCAAUAAAACACAUAUAGUCCGCCGUAGGUGGACUACCCACUUUCCAUUUAUUCGUUUUCGUUCAAUCCUAACACGGCCAAAACCAAAAAUGAAUAUCGGUAAAAUAAUAAUAAUACAAAUUGGCACGGGUAACGCCGGGCACGGGACAGCUAAAACAACAAACAAUAAAAACUAUUAAAAACAACAAAAACUAUAAAAACAAUAAAUAUUAUUAUUACUAUUAUUUACACUAUUUUCUAGCAAUAGCAAAGCAUUGCCGGAUCAGCUAGCUUCAUAAUAUUCUGGCGAUUUGAGCUAUUAAUUUAUUAUUUUGAGAUUUUAAUUUUACUAUUUUUUUAAAUAAUUUUUAUUUUUUAGGCACUCUGUAAAUGUGUAUAAGUGUAGGCUAUAUAAUACUAUCGAAGUAUAAACAUAAAUUCCCGUAUUAUCUACAUCCAUAUUUUAAGAUGAUAUUUUCUAAAACGGUUUUAUUACGGUGGGAAUAACAGUAAAAGCGGUAUAAUAUUAUCCUACGCGAUGUAACAAUAACAAUAUGAUUUGAUAUUUUUCAGGAGCUUUGCCGAUCGUGGUGUCCAUCGGAUGUAAGAAUUGCAGCGAAGCACAAAUUAAAUGCUUCAAAAAAGCGCUCACCUUCGUGAAGACGAAAAAAACGCCGGAAUGGGUCCAAAUGGUCGCAUUGUACGAUCCGACGGG